rnacentral:lncRNA from 1 species
GAUGCUUGCCUGAAAAGCAUAGAUAGGGCAAAUUAAAGAAACCACAGGUUAAGUACUCGUUAACCAAAGCAAGUAGUCAAUGUGCCUUCAGCCAUCAUGCCAGUUGAAGGAUGCAUACAUAAGGGAACUAGAUAACAGACGGAAGUUGUCAAAUCAAGCAACUAAUUCCUACCGGUGCACUUCACAGCAGACCAGUGCAUGCUUGCUACACAGAGAGUCAAUCUCAAGGUCCAACAUACAAAAUACAAGAGCCUGCCUACAGCCAACAACCCAUUUCUUCUUCAUCUCAGUCACCAGAAUGUAGCUCUAGAUCCUGUGAAGCAAGCAAUAUCAUCAUGAGUCAAGCAAUUUUGUACUAUUUAUUCGGCAAAAGCCGUUGGAGUUAUUCUCCUAACUUUUGUAUGACCCAAAACAGUAAACAUUAGCUUCAUCACUAUUGUGGGAAUGCACCCAAAAGUUUCAAAAGUGAAUCAUCUCAUCAUUAUUAGACAAAUCAACAUUAGACAGAGUCAGAGAACAACAAUAAGGUAAAUUGUAGCGUAGUGGGCAGUACCACACCUUCAAUUUCUAACAUUACAAGUAUUUGGCUAUACUGGUCUGAAUAGAGCCUAAAGGAACAGUGGGCAUAUGACGGGCUCAUGGAGUAGGAAAGCAAAAAAAAAAAAAAAUAGAUCUGGCUUCUAGCUCAUACGCAUACUUUUUAGAAAUGCAUGAGCUUAACUAGCACUAACAAAUAGAAUUUCGUCAAACUUAUGCACUACAAGCCAGAAGCAAGGGAUCAUGUAUCAUCUUAUUAAUUGCUCCGUCUAAAAAUGUAAGACAUUUUCGUAGGCUAGUUUAACCUACAAAAACAUCUUAUAUUUUGAGGAACUCUAUGCAGACGACACUGCAUAAACAAUUGUUGCACGAUGCCUCACAUCCAGCCGUCAUAUCAUAGAAUGAAGUGCAGCUCAUCCAUCGGAUUGUGAACCGUGCAUGAAGUAUCGGCUGUGAAGUAGUUUUGUAUUUUGAGACGGAGGGAGUAUUUCUUUUGGUCCAACAGUUUCACCACUACUUGUAGUAAAACCAUAAAAAUGUUAUCAAUAACUAAAGCAGUUUUUAUGAUGAAUCUAGUCGUGUAAUUUUGAUCUUGUGUUUGAUAUUAAGUAUUAAACAUCCAGGAGGCCAAAAGUGAAGAAAUUAGACUGCACACAACACAAAGCAUAACUACAUAUAGUGGCUAAUGACCAAUACAAUAUAUUCAAAUUGGCAGACAACAAGUGUCGUGCUAAUAAAAUGUUCAACAAAACAACCCAACACCAGAAUAAUCAUCCAUGAAACUACAAUAACUGCAAGCAAAGUGAAAACAACAGUAUUUGAUUUAAUGAACCACAGCCUUCAAAGUAUUGUCACAAUAAUACAAAAUAAGCAGCAACCCAAAACGGCAUGCUUGUACAUCCAUAUAAAUAAAGGAACUAUGAAACCAUAUGCUCAUGUGUUUUUAGUUAUCAAUUACUUGUAUACAUGGGACAACAUACAAAUCACACUAGGACAUGAUAGACCAUAACCACAGGAAAAAGCGUUAAGGCAAUGCCAUGAGAGUAAAACAAAAAGAGAAAUACACCCCGAAAGCAUAGUAAUGCGCUAGUGGUUCAUUUUCUAGUACUUUGUACUUAGCAUGACUGUAUUCUAUUACCUCCGUUCGAAAAUAACUGACGUGGUUUUAAUUUAAAUUUAAACUAAAACCACGUCAGUUAUUUCCGAACGGAGGGAGUAGUACUUAGCAUGACAGCAUUCCCAUAUCUGAGGGGCACAAGAGUAUGUGCGAAUAAGGAAUGGGAAGGGUCCAAAGUCAUCAGUCAUUGAAAGGGCUAGAGGAAGAAAAGCCCACAGUACCAGAAUAACUUGGGGAGUACUAAGGACAAAGCAUAACCAAAAGCAAAGAAGCUGGAAGGAAUGGAGGGGCAAACAAAAGAGCACAUCCACAAGAUAAGAUCACCUGCUCAUUUAGUAGAUCAAACAGCAUAUCCAACAGACAAUAAUCUUACGUAUUGACCAAAAGCUCAGCCCUGUCGUUUCCACCAGAAACACAUGUUCCUACAAGCAUAAGAAAUCAAACAAUGUGUCAUGUGGGGCAAAGCAGAUGGCCGCCGGAGCAUGGUUAGUGGUUAAGCUAUCAAGCUUUGCUAUUUUCCAACACGUAUAAUGAGAGCCCCACGUCGCAACCAAUAUCAGCUAUCAAUAAACCAGAGAUAAAAGAGAUUAGGCUCCAACUCGAAACAAACGACACAAAGAUUUCCCACAAAAGACAUAGAUGAGGAGGAGUCGACUGGGUUUUCAGAUAAAUCCACAGCUGUAAUUCAGAAAAAUAACUCGGCUUGAUACAAUAAUAUUAACAAAACACACCUACUGUCAAAUUUACAAUUUUUUUCAAACAGCAGAUACUCAUCAAUAUUGUAAAAAUGAAAAAAAAAGACCUCAUAGUAUUAGCUGGUCAGAACGGAGAAGUUUCCGGGAGCUAUUCUGAAGCUUGUUCCACACCAUGCAAAUUAUUUUUAAGUGAUCCUUUUUAAAUUAUAUUUAAGUAAAAUUAGCACGAAAUGAUGAAGAUGAACUCUGCUUAUUAUUUUUUCCUUCUACAAAUGGACUUUGCGACAGGGAGAACGGUCCUAUAAGUGAUAAACGGAAAUUUAUUCAUAUUUUUGAAACCAAGUGUUUAUUAUGGAUUUAAGAUUGUUAGCGAUAUCAGCAGGGACAACAAUACAGAAUGAAGGAAAUAUAACUAGGCUUAAGCAUCCAAAGCGUCCAAGCCAGUUUUUCAUGUAGUCAACUUCUAACUUUUGUGUAUCUCCUAUUGGGUAAAAAUGGCACUGCAGGUAGCACUAACACUACCAUUGGUUAAUUCCUGCAUAUAAUAAUGAGCAGACAAUGAUGGAAUUUAUUUCCUACAAAGAAUUUGCAAUUCUUGUAUUUAGAACAGCGCACCACAGAACAUCAUCGCUAUACAUUAAAGAGAUCAUCAAGCAGCAAAAGAAAUCACCGGUAUGAAACUAACUAAAAUUGUUGGCUUAACAAGAAAUGAUGUGAAUAUAAUUGCAUCAGCCAAAUAUAUAAAAAAACUUGGUUUUGUUGUAUCUGCAAUGUAAGGCAUGCUUUUACCUGCACUGUAGACACUUUCAAAUGGAUGAUAGUAAGAAAGGAUCAUGGUUUGAUGAAGAUUCUUGAACUCCAAUGAUUCAAGCUGGAUCAUCAAGACGCCGAUGAAUGUCCAUAGAAACAUCACAUUAUUCUGCUCAGCAAACCCUAGUAUCGCAAAGUGUCCUUUCUCCUCCGAUUUCAGAGAAAGUAGCUUGUCCAGUUCAAUAGUUAGAGGAGGAAGAGGACACACCAGAAUUAGAGGGCACAUCAAUAGACUCAUCCACAACACAUGGACGACGAGUAUAAUGGUAAGUUAAGGAAGGAAGAGGUGGAAUCACUGGAGGUGGAGAUGGAGAUGGGGAAGGUACCGGUGAUGAAGGUGGAGAUUCAUGCGAUGAGGUAGAUGAAGAAACCGUAGGAGAGGACGGUGUCAGAUCUGCAACAGCGGGGUGAGGAGUAGGAAUACUUGGCACAGAGGGAGGUGUAUCUGGAAACGUAAGAAAAGAGAUGUUCUCCGUGGAAAAGGCUGAGGAUGGACGCAGGUAGAAGGGACGAGACUCAUCAAAAGUCACAUCCCGGGAAAUAUGCAUCCAACGACCGGUAGGAUCCCAACACCGAUAGCCCUUAUACUCAUCGCUAUAUUCGAGAAGGACACACUCAACAGACUGAGCAAUCAGUUUGGUGCGUUCAUGAGGGGCAAGAGAAACAUAGCAAAUGCAACCAAACAAACGAAGCGAUGAAUAAUCAAGAGAAUGACCAGAAAGACGCUUGAGAAGAAUACCACCCUAUAGAGCAGCAGAUGGUUGAAUGUUGCUGAGAUAGGUGGAAAUGGUAAUAGCCUCGGCCCAUAAAUGAGGCGGAAGAGAGGCGGCGAUCAUCAUCGCACGCGGCACCUCAAGAAGGUGACGAUGCUUGUGCUCUGCCACACCAUUCUAAGCAUGAGCACCAGGGCAAAAGAACUGAAUAUACCCUGCUCAACAAGGAAUCCUCGUAGCGCCUGGGAGAUAUACUCACCGGCGGAAUCUACGCGAAAAACACGAACAUGAGUGGAAAGCUGGGUAUACCAUGGCAGCAAAUUUUUUGUAUAUAUAUAUGACCUCACUAUGAGAAGACAUGAAAUAGAUCCAAGUGUACCGAGAAAAAUCGUCUAUAAAGAUAAUAUAGUAGUGAUGACCCCCUUUAGAAGCGAAGGGAGCGGGAUCCCAAAAAUCAGAGUGAACGAGAUCAAAAGGGCGCUCGGACAUUGACUGACUGUGAGGAUAGGGUAGCUGAAUCUGCUUACCAAGCCUACAACCCAUAUAAUCCAACGAAGCGUUACCGAAGACAGACCCCAGAACACCACGAUGAACCAAAGAUGGGAGACAAGAACCACAUAAAUGGCCAAGACGAUGAUGCCACUGCUAAAAAGAGUUGGUAGAUGCAGCAACAGGGGCUGCGAGACUGGCGAUGGCGGCAGCGGAGGGAAGACGAAGCCACUCAAGCUCCUAGAGACCAUAAGGGCAUCAAGGGCCAGCACCAAGCAGAGCACCCAUACGACGAUCCUGAAUAGAACACGAAUCGAAGUCGAGAAUGACCCUAUAACUAGAGUCAACAAUUUGACCACCAGAUAUGAGCUGCAUGGUAAGUUGAGGAACAUGAGCGACAGAGGGAACAUGAAAUGAAGAAGUGCUAAGAGUGCCUCUACUAGCUACAGGGAGGGGAAUGCCAUCAGUCGUAAGAACACGAACAUGAGACUCGACAAGUUGAACGGAGGUCAAAGUGGAAGAAGCAUAAGUCAUAUGAAAAGACGCUCCAGUAUCAAGAAUCCAUGGGGAUGUACUUGGGUUUCUCCGUGCCAGAAGAGUCAGUCACGGAACCUGCAGAAGUUGUCGGUGAAGAAUCCCAAGCAGCAAGCAGGUGUCACAGUUGCACAACCUCACGUGCAAACAUGAACACGGAGAAAGAGGUCGAGGUAGAAACACAUGUCGACGAUGAGCGGCCGACACCACCCGUGAAAGCCGCACAUAGAGUCGACGUAGAGCCGAAUGUGGGAGCCACUGGGGGAGUCAACGUAGAGCGGUCACUGCCGCGCACGGAAGACGUGAGAGCUCCUCUCACGGCUUUCGUUCGCGGCAGUCACCACUCUGCGUCGACUGGCUCUACGUCGACUCUAUAUGCGGCUUUCACGAGUGGUGUCGACCGCUCAUCGUCGACAAGUGUUUCUACCUCGACCUCUUUCACCAUGUUCAUGUUUGCGCGUGAGGUUGUGCAACUGCGACGCCUGCUUGUUGCUUGGGAUUCAACACCGACAGAUUCUGCAGGUUCCGUGACUGCUUGAGAGGAGUCGACAUAGAGCGGUCACCACCGCGCACGGAAGCAGCGAGAGGAGUCGAUGUAGAGCGGUCACCGUCACCGCGGGCAGAAGUCGUGAGAAGAGUCGACGUAGAGCGGUCACCACCAAUGCAGGCAAAGGCUGCAAGAAGAGUCGACGAAAGCGACCAACCAAUGCAGCCUGCUGAAGACGUCUUAGGGGAAAAGAUCAUAGACAAAUGAGCACCAAGCACCGAGCGACGACGCAUGUGUUAGACGAGAUCAAUAUAGGAACGCCGUCGAAAGUUGAUGGGCAGCAACGAAGAUGCAAGCUCGACGGACACAUUGCUUUUUUUAACUCUCCCUUCUUUUUUUUUCUCUUUCUCUUUUAGAGUCACAAACCUUAUCAACAUGCACACACACUGGAAACACCUGGCCAAGGGAGUCAGCGCGAGCGAAUCGAAGGGGCGGGCACGGCCUGGAGGGCCUUGAAGGCCGGAGUACAGGCAGCGGGCGGCGGCCUGGGAGCUCCGGUCGGCGGGGAGCGGCAGGGCGAGCGACCUAGAAGUCGAUGGCAUCCUCCUGGAGAUGGUGGUGAUGGUGGACGACCUGGAGUCCCGGUCUGGAUCACGGGACUGGCGACCUGACCUGGAGCCGUCUGUGUGGGCACGGGCGCGCAGAAUUCGCCAUGGACCGCGGACUGGGGCACGGAUGCAGGAGUCGCGGGCCGCGGACUGGCGCGCAGGCGCAGGAGUUGCGGACGAGCGCGCGGACGUCGCCGUUGAUCGCGGAUUGGCACGCGGAUGCGGGAUGGCACAUGCUACAGCGGCAAGAGAGGGAGGAAGGGCAGCACAGCCGGCGUGAAAAGCAAGGCUACGGCGCGCGGGCAGAUCGCAAGAGCACGCCGGUAGUCGUCGGGGAAGCAGCGGUUUGAGAAACAGAUAGUGAGCGUGCGGGUGGGAGAAACAGCGACGGCGGCCCACGGAGGUCAACGGGGGCGCAAGAUUGGAUCGGGAGAGCACGAGUUGCAUGUGCAAAAAAAAAACUAAGGCUCUAAUACCAUGUUAAGAAAAUAUGCAACUUGAUAUUAUCAGGAGGCAAAAGCCACACGGGGAGGCCAAAUGUCAGAAUGCAAAAGGCCAAAGGCCACCAUAAAUACAAUUAGUUCAUUGGGUAUCACAAUGAUCCAAAACAAGCAGCAACAUGAAAUGGGAUACCAAUACACCUGUAUAAAUAAAGAAACUUUGAAAACAGAUGCUCGGGUAUUGUUAGCUAGCAAUUACUUAUUCACUUGUGUAGACGGGACAACAUGCAAAUCACACUAGGACUUGAUUGGCCCAUAACCACAGUGGGUAAGGCAAUGUUGCAAAGAGUAAAACAGAAACACAAAUAUAUCACUAAAGCAAAGUAAAGGUUAGUGCUUCAUUUCCUACUACUUAGCAUGACAACAUUCUCAACUCUAAGCAGGCACGAACAUAUGCACAAAUAGGGAAAGAGGAAGAGUCAUAAGUCAUCAGCCAGUCACUGGAGGGGCUAGAGGGAGAAGAGCCACUGCCAGAAGGAACUUGGAGAGUGCUAAGGAGGAGAACAACUGAAAGCAAGGAAGCUGGAUGGAAGGGAGGGCAAACAAGGAGCAUAUCCAGUAGAAAUGAGAUAGAACAUCAGUAGGAGAUAAGCUUACCUGCUCAACCAGUAGAUCAAAUAGCAUAUCCAACCGGACAAUCAUCUUAUGCAUCGACCAAAAGCUCAGCCACAUGUUCCUAAAAGCAUAAGAAGUCACAAUGUAUCAUAUGGGCAGAGUACACGGCUGCCGCAAUAAGGAUAAGGUGAAGGAACUGAAGGCUUGAUCCUCAAGUCAGCCCCUGAUUUCCACAUAAAAUAUAUUAUCCAUAUCAAAUACUCCCUCUGUAACUAAAUAUACGAUGUUUUUGCAGUUCACAUUUAGUUACAGAGGUAAUACAUUAGUUAUUUUACAAAGUUAGUUAGUGCAUGCCCUAUCCAGAUGAAACAUCUGAAGCUUUCUUAUUUACUAACUUGCUAUACAAAGAGAGUCCUAUAUUGUAACCAGUAUUAGCUAUCAAUAAACCCGAAGCAGGAGGUUUGGCUCGCUCACGACAUUCGGAUGAAAGACAUAGAAACGAGAUGCAUCAACUAGGUAUUUAGGUAAAUCCAUUGCUGUAAUUCAAGAAAAGCAACUCGGAUUCGAUACAAUAACGAAACAGAUAAAUAUAAUACACCUAUUGCCAAAUUUAGUGAAUAUUCCCAAAACAGCGCAUACUCAUUGAUAUCAUGCAAAUGAAUAACAUGCACAAUCAUACAAUUAGCUGGUAAAAAAUGGAGGCUUUAUAUAGAGCUAAUCUGAAGCUCCUUCCACACCAUAUUGCAAAACUCCAUACUAACAAAUCCUGGCAACAUAAGUAAUCCUGGUUUAAAUUAUCUUUAAAUAAAUUUAGCAUUAAAAGAUGAAAAUGAACACUGGUUAUAAAUGUUUCCUGGUGCAAUGAACUUGCCACACGUAGGACAGUUCUAGAAGUGAUAAAUGGGCAGUUACUCGCAAAUUUCAAAUGAAGUGGUUAUUAUGCAUUUAAGACUAUUAGAAAUAUCAGCGGAGAUAACGAUACAGAAUGAAGGAAAUAUUACAGGCUUAAUCUUCCAAAGGAUUCAGGUCAGUUUUUCAUAUAGUCAACUUCCAACUGUUGUGGAUCUCAUCUUGAGAAAAAAUGGCGAAGUUUACUAACUUCCAACCCUUUACUAAGUUUACUAAGUUGAAGUACUAAGGACGAAGCAAACCAAUUGCAGCCCACUGCUUGGCUACAUAACAGAAACUGAUUAAAAACCACAGGAUUAUUUUUUCAAGAACAUAAUCAUUACACAGAGCAUCAUCGCUAUACAUUGAAGAAACCAUAAAGCAGCAAAGGAAACAAAUGAUAUGACACUACCUAAAUAUUUUUAGCAUAACAAUAAAUAAUGUGAGUUGUACGUCGGUCUUUGAUGAGUAAACACAGGCGAGCGCUCGUGUAUGUUGUACGUCGUCGCCGUCUGCCACUGCCAGAACCACCUUGAAGUGCUGGGCGUCACCGUCAGCGCGAAGCACCGCCCCGUUGAUUAGGUUCUUCUCGAACUCCCGGGGAACGGCAAUGUGGUGCUGGUCGCCGGUGACGGGGUCCCACACCAGGACCUGGAAACGCCUCAUACGAUAGACGAGCACGAGACCAUGGCGACAUCCAAGGGUCAUGGAGUCUUCGUGAUCCUUGUCGCACAGCAAGGAGAAGCGCUCGGGAGGGACACGAUUGGGGGCAUCCAGAGUAAGUAGGAAGGGCCGACCUUCAUAUCUGUCGAAGAAACCGAGGAGGGGAGGGUUGUGGCGAUGGCGGAGGCGGAAUCGGCGGAAGAAGCCGGGGUCGGAGACGAGGCAGCGCCAGCGCUUGCAGACGAGGGAUGCGCGCGGGAGGGAGGAGGGCUGCGGCGGGAGGCGGAGCAGGAUCUCGGAGAGCAGGUCGUCGUCGUCCAGGGGCGCGGUCG